CCUUCGGGGAUCAAGAGAGUGGCGAACGGGUGAGUAACACGUAGGUUAUCUACCCUCGAGUUCGGGACAACCCAGGGAAACUUGGGCUAAUACCGGAUGGGUGCUACUGUAAUGGUAGUAUAAAAGGUGGCUUUUAGCUGUCGCUUGGGGAUGAGCCUGCGUCCUAUUAGUUAGUUGGUGAGGUAAUGGCUUACCAAGGCGAUGAUAGGUAGGCGGCCUUAACGGGUGGUCGCCCACACUGGGAUUGAGAUACGGCCCAGACUCCUACGGGAGGCAGCAGUCGAGAAUAGUCUACAAUGGUCGAAAGACUGAUAGUGCGACGCCGCGUGAACGAAGACUCCUUUCGGGG
rnacentral:rRNA from 1 species